CACAGCCAGGAAUAGGGAUGUAGUAGGAAUAAGGCAGUGACUCAUCACUCUGUCUGCCCAAGAACCCAAUGACCAAAGCAGAAGAAGAUACUGAAGCCCAGAGGGGAAAACUGAUUUGCCUGAGGUCACACAACGAGAAAUUCUCUGGACAUCAGACCUAAAUUGAAGCCCUGAUAUCACUAUGUAUCCGGCUAACAGGGUAGGCUCACCUCUCAGGCUCAGGCUGCAACUUCCAUUCACCUUCCAUCCCUCAGUCAUUCUACAAAUAUACUUUCCUCAGUCUGAGAACUCCAGGCACCCAGAAUCUCUUCCAUUCUCUUGGCUGGGUGGAGGGAGC